rnacentral:rRNA from 1 species
UACGUAGGGUGCAAGCGUUAAUCGGAAUUACUGGGCGUAAAGCGUGCGCAGGCGGUUUUGUAAGUCUGUCGUGAAAUCCCCGGGCUCAACCUGGGAAUUGCGAUGGAGACUGCAAGGCUAGAAUCUGGCAGAGGGGGGUAGAAUUCCACGUGUAGCAGUGAAAUGCGUAGAUAUUAGGAGGAACACCGGUGGCGAAGGCGCCACUCUGGACAGUUACUGACGCUGAGGCGCGAAAGCGUGGGGAUCAAACAGG